GGUAUAUAGCGAUGGAGGGACGCAGUAGGCUAACUAAACCAGACGAUUGGAAGUGUCUGGCCAAGCAGUGAGGUGUGAUAUGAGUCAAAUGCUUAUAUCUAUAACAUUGAGCUGUGAUGGGGAGCGAAGUUUAGUAGCGAAGUUAGUGAUGUCACACUGCCGAGAAAAGCUUCUAGCGUUAAUUAUACUCUACCCGUACCGCAAACCGACACAGGUAGUCGAGGCGAGUAGCCUCAGGUGAGCGAGAGAACUCUCGUUAAGGAACUCGGCAAAAUGGCCCCGUAACUUCGGGAGAAGGGGCGCUGACUUAUGGUCAGCCGCAGUGAAUAGGCCCAAGCAACUGUUUAUCAAAAACACAGCUCUCUGCUAAAUCGUAAGAUGAUGUAUAGGGGGUGACGCCUGCCCGGUGCUGGAAGGUUAAGAGGAGUGCUUAGCAAUAGCGAAGGUAUGAAUUGAAGCCCCAGUAAACGGCGGCCGUAACAAUAACGGUCCUAAGGUAGCGAAAUUCCUUGUCGGGUAAGUUCCGACCCGCACGAAAGGCGUAAUGAUUUGGGCACUGUCUCAACGAGAGACUCGGUGGAAUUUUAGUACCUGUGAAGAUGCAGGUUACCCGCGACAGAACGGAAAGACCCCAUGGAGCUUUACUGCAGUUUGAUAUUGAGUAUCUGUACCACAUGUACAGGAUAGGUAGGAGCCUAUGACCUCGGGACGCCAGUUUCGAGUGAGGCGUUGUUGGGAUACUACCCUUGUGUUAUGGCUACUCUAACCCAGAUAGGUUAUCCCUAUCGGAGACAGUGUCUGACGGGCAGUUUGACUGGGGCGGUCGCCUCCUAAAAGGUAACGGAGGCGCCCAAAGGUUCCCUCAGAAUGGUUGGAAAUCAUUCGCAGAGUGUAAAGGUAUAAGGGAGCUUGACUGCGAGAGUUACAACUCGAGCAGGGACGAAAGUCGGGCUUAGUGAUCCGGUGGUUCCGCAUGGAAGGGCCAUCGCUCAACGGAUAAAAGCUACCCUGGGGAUAACAGGCUUAUCUCCCCCAAGAGUUCACAUCGACGGGGAGGUUUGGCACCUCGAUGACGGCUCGUCGCAUCCUGGGGCUGUAGUCGGUCCCAAGGGUUGGGCUGUUCGCCCAUUAAAGCGGCACGCGAGCUGGGUUCAGAACGUCGUGAGACAGUUCGGUCCCUAUCCGUCGCGGGCGUAGGAAAUUUGAGAGGAUCUGCUCCUAGUACGAGAGGACCAGAGUGGACUUACCGCUGGUGUACCAGUUGUUCUGCCAAGAGCAUCGCUGGGUAGCUAUGUAGGGAAGGGAUAAACGCUGAAAGCAUCUAAGUGUGAAGCCCACCUCAAGAUGAGAUUUCCCAUGAUUUUAUAUCAGUAAGAGCCCUGAGAGAUGAUCAGGUUGAUAGGUUAGAAGUGGAAGUGUGGUGACACAUGUAGCGGACUAAUACUAAUAGCUCGAGGACUUAUCCAU
rnacentral:rRNA from 1 species